UACGUAGGGUGCGAGCGUUAAUCGGAAUUACUGGGCGUAAAGCGUGCGCAGGCGGUCCGCAAAGUCUGAUGUGAAAGCCCCGGGCUCAACCUGGGAACUGCAUUGGAAACUAACGGGCUCGAGUGUGGCAGAGGGGGGUGGAAUUCCACGUGUAGCAGUGAAAUGCGUAGAGAUUGGGUGGAACACCAGUGGCGAAGGCGCCUAUCUGGCUGACAACUGACGCUGAGACUCGAAAGCAUGGGGAGCAAACAGG
rnacentral:rRNA from 1 species